UACGUAGGGAGCAAGCGUUGUUCGGAUUUACUGGGCGUAAAGGGCGCGUAGGCGGCCUGUCAAGUCAACUGUGAAAUCUCCGGGCUUAACUCGGAACGGUCAGUUGAUACUGUCAGGCUAGAGUGCAGAAGGGGCAAUCGGAAUUCUUGGUGUAGCGGUGAAAUGCGUAGAGAUGUGGAGGAACACCGAUGGCGAAGGCAGCCUUCUGGGCCAACACUGACGCUCACGCACGAAAGCGUGGGGAGCAAACAGG
rnacentral:rRNA from 1 species